GAUAGUAUUCCAUUGUGUAGAUGUACCACAGCUUGUUUAUCCACUCAUCUACUUAUGGGCACUUGAGCUAUUUCCUGAUAUUAGCUAUUGUAAGUAGUGCUGCUAUGAACAUAGGUGUAUAUAUAUUCUUUCUGAUUGGUGUUUCUGGUUUCAUAGGCUAUAUUCCUAGGAGUGGGAUCACUGGGUCAAAGUAGAGUUCCAUUGUUAAUUUUUGGAGAAAACUCCAUACUGUUUUCCACAGUGGCUGCACCAGUCUGCAUUCCCACCAGCAGUGUACUAGGGUUCCCUUUUUAUUGUGUCUUUACACCUUUUUACGCAUGACAAACUUAAAUCCCAUUAUAAAGUGACUUCAAUUAUCUACUUGUUAUUCAAACUUAAGAAGUCAGAUAAUCAUAUAACUUUUCAGUGAUCUUUUUGGUCUGGAAAGGAAAGUGUAUGGAUUUUUCUUAACAUUUUUGAAGAAAUACAGACGCACAGAAAAUCCAGUGAUAAUAGCAAGAUGUUGCUGAGUAAGGUGUGUUGAAACCUGACUUAUAAAUCUGAAAAUUUAAGGUUUACUGAAGCAUAUUCUUUUCUCUUCUGCAAAAGUCUCUUUCCAGUGUGACUUCACUUUUCCACAAUUUCAGUCCCUUUAUUCUGUUACAUAAAAUGAGAUUAAAAGCAAGAACUGAAUCUAUCUACAACUUUCUUAUAUUUUAGAGCAUAAGGAAUACAUUUCUACUUUAUUAGAUGUAAGUUGGACCUUUUGAAGUGACUGGGUGAACCCAUAUUUCUUCAGAAAAGGAGACUAGUAUCAUUUCAUUAAUACAAGAUCUUGUAGGUAGAAUUCUGAUUUGGAUUUUUCAAAACUAAAGAUGAUACUCUGUAUAUUGCUUCCAUUUGUUCAUCUGCAAAAAAUAAUGUCAUUUUAUACAAUUUAAUAAAUAUUUAUAAGCACUUUCUACUCUUUUCCAAGCGCUGUGCUAGUUAUUGGAGCUGAUCAAAUGAGAUAACAGGUGGCAAACUGCUUUGCAACAUUUUAAACAGUGUAAAAAUAUUUCUACUUCCAGGGACAUUACUGAAACACUACCUUUUCUGGGAGAAAGUCAUUUUUAAAGUUAGGUAAUUUUUCUACCUCAGAGCUCUUCAAUUAAUGACUAGGAACACUGGAAUCACAAUCAUAAUUUUAUUAAUAAUCCAUAGUUUCAUUUAUCCCAAGUUGCAUAAAUAUUAAAUUGAUUCGGAUUCACCUUUGGGAUAGUUUUCUGUAAGUACCAAGUAGAUUUUAACAUCAUAAAUUAUUGACAUUAUACUUAAAUUUUUUUUCUUCUUUCUAAUUUGUGAGAUAAUACUCCAUUGUCAAUUUAUGAAGCAAUCAUUUAUGUAUAUUUGUUUCUCAAACUUCUGUAUUUUGCUCUAGUUUUUUGUUAAGCCAUCAACCUUCACAUAAUUUCUUCAAGAAUUACAUAUAUGUACUAAUUCGAGUUCUAGAAAUAGGCUUUUACUUCCAUCAUCUAGCUAUUUUGGAUCACUCUUAAAUUUCUAUAUUCAUUUAUCAUUCAAAUUGAAAAUGGAGGUUUUUGUUACAUUUGAAAAUAAUGGGGUUAAUGAAAUGCGGUGAAGGGGGGGAAAAAACCCUCAAAAAAUGUUGAGGAGCCAUGAUUUAUUUUAUGAAAAUGAUAUAGUGCUAGGGCAUAAGUUAAAGCAAUUGACUGAGUAAAGUACUAUACAAACUUACCUGUGCUGGAAAUAGCUGUUGUUUCUUUUGUUUUGUUUGUUUUUUAAAUAAUUUGUCCACAUGGCAGUGCAAUUGUGUGAUAUCUAUAUAUAGCUGAUGUGGAACCAGAUACACUCAUUAGAUACAUUAGCUUCAGUUUGCUUUUCUAGUAUCAUCUCUAGUUUCCUUUGUAGUACAGAUCAGAAGAGUAGAGUUCAAGGACAUUGGAGGGUGGAGUGGGGAGGAAAUGCAUAUAUGAAAGAUCAAUGGUCAAAUCAUUUAAGUUAAGCAUGAUAGGGUUAAAAUACUUAAUCUUCUCAAACCUAUCAAACUAAUUUUAUUUCAUCAUUAUAAUACUUUAUUUUUAAUAUUUUAUUUCUUUUUUCUUUGAAAGAAAACAGAACAAAGGGUAAAUAAUAUGCAAUUUUUACUCUCAAAUUUGUGACAUACAGAAGCCAUAUGCAAAACCAUAAUUUCUGUCUUCUAUAUUUUCUUUAAUUUGCCUCAUAUUAUCCUUAUGAAAUUACACUGUAUAUAUAAUUGCUUAUGUGUCUAUUAACUGUGUUACCAUAUUUUUCCCCUCUCAAGGACUUACUGUUGGUGCAGUAAUAAUUGCUAUCAUAAGUCUAACCAAAAUUUUCGGGGACUAUAGAAGAUCAGGCUCUUAUUACAUCCAGGAGAACAACAAAGCACUCAAUGUUAUGUUUCAUAAUUUAACAGAGACUGGUGAUGACUCAGAAGUAUGGCCUUCUGGUAAAUUAUAAAAGGACACACAUUUAUGACAUUGACAGUUUUGCUUAUGAUGCUGGUAGCCAUUGGCUACCUGACUUAGCCAAAGAAGAGAUAAGAAGAAAGUGCAUACAAGUACACAGAAUAUUCUAGUUUUUAUACGUUUCUGGAAGCAUGGACACAAUAUAUGCAGUAGUGUUCUUCAUCUUGCACAUUAUCAGUGUCUCUCAUGUGCAUAAGAAUGUCAAUAAAGCUAGAAGAAAAGACUCUGUCCUGGAAUCGCAUUCUCAACAUUUCUAAGCCUCUUGAAAAUAGGACAACUCACAAGACUGAGAGUGAUUACGUUUCUAAAAGUGUAGAGAUUUGUGAGCAUGAAGAAAAGGAAAUGUUAUUUUUCCCAUUAGAUUUGUAAUGUUAUUUUUACUUACAAAAAAUAUGUACAAAAUUAAAUACAUUAAUUGGAUAUUGAAAACAAAUGAAAAAAAUAUUGCCCAGUCUCUUGAGGAAAAUUGCCAAAGAGAGAUGAACCACAUUAUAAAGUGACCCUUCUUGACUCUAAGGCGUUUUUAUCUUUCCUUAUUCCACUAAAAUGAGUUUGAAUGGGUUGGCAAAUGUUUUAAAUGAAAAACAUGUUAAUGACUCAGUGUCAAGUUUCUUGGAUUUAGUUGGUGGCAAAGAAGAAGCAUAGAAGGAAGAAAUAAUUAUUUCUUUGCCACAUAAGUACACAUAAUUAACAAGAAUUUAGCUCCUUACUUUUAAGAUGGAUUAGUGACAAUUUUAAUUUUAUUCUUCGGACAGUCUUUUUUUUUUUUUUU